CAGAUCCGGAACACCAAUGCAUCGUCUUAACAACAUUUAAGGCUCUCUCCAAGCCGGCUUGCCGCGAGUUAUCGCCUGACCGGUCGUCCCCAGUCCUCCCCCUCGUCCAGUCGUCCCCAGCCGCUCUCUCGCGGCUGUGGAGCGCCUCCGAUUGAUCUUCCCCGAUGGCGCCAAGACGUCGCCGCCCCGUCCUCCCUCCUGACUACAGACGGCAUCCUCCUCACGUAGGUGCAAAAGCAUAUUGACCGUCCCGCAUUCCAAUAAAAUGGAGGCUAGAAUCCAAUUAGGCGUUAAAGUCAAAUAAAAAAUGUUUAUUUUGCGCGGGCCGCGGCGCGAGGGGUGCGAGCGUGCUUCCUGCCCGCCCGCGCGCCGCGGAAAAAUGCGGCCGUGCCGGCUUGGCGUGCAGGGACGUCUUUUUGUGACAGGGGUCGGAGAGUGGGUUCCACACGUGUGGCGCGGCGCGGUGGCGUGAACUCACGGCACCGGCAUUCCGGCGGCGAUUGCGGCGCGGCUGCCCGAGCGGCGACAAUUGGUGGCGCGACUCGGACCGAAUGCGCGCGCCGCCGUGUGCGAACGGACGUGCGCCGGGGAGCUGCAAACGUUAAAGGGGGAGGGGGCAGCAGUUCGGGGCGACCCACCCCGCGGUGUCCCGGUGAGGAGGGUGCCCCACACAGACGGACGCUGCGGGCACAGCAGUCGUGUUGAGGUUGGAGGUGACGCUGUGACCGUUGCUUGGAAGCAUUCCCCCGAGAGCCUGAGCUGCUGGCUGUGGCGUCACGUAUGUGUGAUGCCGCGUGCAGCUUAUGUCGACGGGCGACCAAACAGCGUUCAAUGCGUUAGAAUCGGACUCAACGCAAGACACAGCCGUGACCUGUCGAUACGGCCUCUCACUGAACGCAGGCCCAUCGCGCCAGAGGCUCAGCCGAUUUGGGAUCGCCACUGCGAUCUUUCCACACCUAGUGAAGCCGAGGUUCUCCAAACUGUCAGAAUCAUCAUCUCAAAAGAUAAGUUCGCAACAUCGCGCUUUCGUCACCCAAGAAGCGAGAAAAGCGUUAUACAUCCAGUCAGCUGGCAUCACUCGCCUCGUGUGAUAGCACGUGACUUGCUUCUGGCUGAAGUGAACAGAUGAAGGGUCGCGAGGAAACCAUCCAGCUGCACAUUCGUUACGGAGUCGAAGCCUGCUAAGCUGUAUGCCAGUUCUGAGAAUGCAUUCUGUCUAAAUUAAUAUGGGGUAAUAUGUGUUCCCUUCUCAGCUCGAGGUGCCUGGUGCGGUGAUGAUAUUGUUUAUGAUAAUCACACAAUGAUGGAGCUUAGAAGUUUAGAACAUAAUGGCAGAAAACUUGAGUACUUGUUCCAUUGUGCGUUCCAUCAUAUGUUCAUAAAAUAUUAGCUGCUUCCUUCGAUGUUACUGGGUUUCUUGAGCUCGAUGUACGUUAGUAGGUGUGAUCUGUGCGAAAUAACCAUUUAUUGUUGCGCAUAUACAGAGCUGACGUUAACCAGCCCGUCUAAAAUUAACAAACAUUCAUUUUUGAUUGUAUGCAGACAAGGCGAAACAUGAGCAUAAUAUAUAAAAAACUGAUGCA
rnacentral:lncRNA from 1 species